rnacentral:rRNA from 1 species
UACAGAGACCUCAAGCGUUAUCCGGAUUUACUGGGCGUAAAGCGCGUGUAGGUGGUUCUGUAAGUAGGGCGUGAAAGCUCCCGGCUCAACUGGGAGAGGCCGUUCUAAACUGCAGAGCUAGAGGAUGGUAGAGGGAGGUGGAAUUCCAGGUGUAGCGGUGGAAUGCGCAGAUAUCUGGAGGAACACCAGUGGCGAAAGCGGCCUCCUGGACCAUUCCUGACACUCAGACGCGAAAGCUAGGGUAGCAAACGGG